rnacentral:tRNA from 1 species
GGGCGAGUGCCGGAGUGGCCAAACGGGGCAGACUGUAAAUCUGUUGGCUUACGCCUACGGGGGUUCGAAUCCCUCCUCGCCCA